UUUUUUCUCUAGAUCUAACUUCCCAAGGGAUUGACACGAGUACACCUACGCUUGUGGAAUUAAGACCAGGUGUAACAAGAUCGCAUGUCUAUAUAGCUCAGUGCAUAAACAGUUUCCAUAGACUUUGCACUUAACCCGAUACACUAUAGAGCUACCAAUGCUGAUCGGAUCAUGAGAAUUGUAAUUCUAAUUCUUGUACCAAACUAAAUUCGUCAUGGAUUAGACAUCCCAACAUUUCGAACAUUCGUUUAAUAGCAAAGAGUCGACGGAAGCAGGACCUAACUGGUGGGAGCAACUCUCCUGCUGUGUCUUCAUGCUCUCUGUUCUGAUAGAAUACAUGGUUUCAUUGACUUAAAGAAAUUAAAUUUAAAAAAGGCUUUCCUUUAAUUGUUGUGGAUGGAACAAGAACAAGAGCCAAACACAGAGGUAUUUUGAAAUAUUGUAAGUCUGAUUUCAAUGCAAACCAGAGAUCUUAUCUUAUCUUAUAAGAUGGGGCAGUGUUGGGAAGCAACCACAUUGUGGAUGACCCUGAGCCAAAAGUCACAUGACCACAAGCCCAUGGGGGCCCAUGGAAACCCCACUGAGAUUUGCAAGGAUCAGCAGUGCAUGGUCUGAACACUGGUGUUGGUUUACUGACAUUUUCACAUCUUGAAACAUCAACAAUGUCAACAGUGCCAUUUUUAUUCUGUGUUUCACAAACCAUUCUAUUCACUUCAGUACCAGUUUCGCCACACUUAGCAUUGCAAGCUUCAAAGUAGGGGCCUGUACUCCAGCGUAAUCUGUUAUAAUAAAAAAAUUUAAUAAUGUGAAACCAAAAAAUUCAUUUUUUUAAUUUAAUUAUUGUACAUAAAAAAAAUUUAGAGCUGAGAAAGAUAGUGAAGUAGCUGGUGAUUUCUUUCUUUUAAAGAAAAGUAAAAACUUAAUAAGCAUAGAGUUCUACAUCUGUUACCCUUUGACUUAUGUGUACCAAUUGCAUAUGUUUUUAAAUAGUAUCAAAGUUGGCAUGUAAAUUCUAACAUAGGAAACUAAUUCCAUUAUUCUUGGGUACAAAAAAGUAGCUUCAAUGGGUAUAGCUCUUUUUUUUAAAGGAUUAUUAUAAAGAUAUGGCAAUAGAGGAGGAGGGCAAAAAAAUGUGACCAAUGUCAGUUCUUUUGCAGGCCUUAUUAAAAAAUAGGACCUAAGUUCAGUUUCACAACAAUUAAAGGAUAAAACUAUAUGGAGAGCUCCCUGAUUUGGAAACCACUGCGCAGUUCAGCUCAUAUAUUGGUCUAGUCAUCUGAACGCUCCAACAUAAAAAUGAGAAGGAAAAAGAAGAAAAACUUAAGGAUUUUAAAAUAAUGAUGAAGACUGGUCAAAGACAGUUUCUUACUGAGGCAGACAUGAUACAUUGGAGCAUGUCUGAGUGUCUUUAAGUUUGUCAAUAACAUUUUGACAUUUGACUGACUCCACUACAUUUUUACUCUCCACCAAACCAUUGUCUCUCUGUGUGAUCAAUUCACACCAAACUUCACGACGCUGUAUAGCCUCAGAAGAUUCACUCUCACAGAAACAUUGAGACCAGUUGGAUGCUGCCCACUGAAAUCUAGUAAGAAUAAAAGUGAUGUAUAAGUUAAAGAAAUGGAGUGAUAUCUCAUUACUAAGACAAUGGCAGACACAAAAGCAUAUUUGGUAAAAAUUGGUAUUUUAACUUUUUUUUAUAUGGAAUGGCACCAGGGAAUGUCAAGCGAAACCUUGAAAAUUUCUGAUGCUGUUCUCAGAGACCCCUUUCAAUGAAAGCAAAACAGCUGAACUAUGAUUUUGUGCACUUUCUUUCCAUCCACAAAGAUUUCCACAAAAAGAGUUUAUAAACAUGCACAAAAAUAGUUAAUAUACGUCAAUAAACAUAUGAUAAAUUCAAAUCAAGAAAUUAGUAAACUGCUGUAUGUCUUGUCUUUUUCUCUUCAUUUUGUUUCAAGCCUACUUUACAUAUCUUGUUAGUCAUUGCAAUCAAAUGUUCAGCCUCUUUCUGGACAUUUGUUCUAGAUUGUUUCUUUUAGUGCAUUGACUGGUUGCAUUAUUCAAUAGGCUGUCUGGUCAUGUGGUAUGCACUCUGGACCAAGGUCAGAUUUAAGUAUGUGAAGGCCCCUACACUUUUUCAAAAGCUUUAAUAUAGAUCCACUUAAAAAAAUAAUACUAAUAUCUAAAAGCAUACCAUAUUUUAGUAAAAAGAAAUAGAAUUCUUUUAUAGUAAAUCUCAUUUUCCCUUUUAAAAAAAUUCAAUAUGCAUAUUUUAGUUAUAAAAAAUGUAUACUUUUGAGUUUGUGGAGGUUAAGGUCCUUGGUAGAUGCACUGCUGUAAAUAUGGAGCUGCAUUUACAUAUUCCACGCAUGCUAGCGGACACUUCUUAAUCAUAGCAGUGUUGCAAGCCGAUGUAAGAUUUAGCAUAAAAUGUUAGUGGUAAAAAUGCAAAAAUUUUGUUCGAGCUUGAAAAAAAUCUUAAAUUCAGAUAUAUUUCAAUCUCUUUUCUGGAGACUCCUUUCAUGUACAGUUAUCAGGGCUGUAGCCUUGCCUGCUGUCAUCCCAUUAAUCCAGCCCUGCUCUGGAAUGGUUUGAACCCUGCCCACUGCCAUUCUCCUUUGUCCUGCGGGGGGUUUGGGCAAGAAUGUAAUUCUGUUCAAAAUCUGAAGGAACAUCCAAAACAUGUACAAUAAAAACACAAAGAAAUUAAUAUAAAAAAAUUGAAAGUGUCAGGGAUGUUUGUAUCAAACAUUUUACCAUGGGAAGAAAUGUAUUCUAUACAGUGGGGAAUUCUGUGAGCUAAACACCACAUCAAAGUUUAUCAAUGAUAUAAAGCUUCCUUCUCCACUGUCUUCAUUGUUAAUUAUAUUAACUUUUUAGUUUUCUAAUCUUAAGUUCAAAGUCACAAUAUUUAAUGAUCUUUUUAUUAUAUUCUCCAUGUUUUAACUGAUGCCAUUUGAAAAAGUCAUAACGCAGAUGAACACAUAAUUUGUUAAAAGAAAACUAGAAAGUCUUCCUGUAUUAAAAGUAAAAAAAAAUACCUUUCUACUGUUGGGCAUGGCUUCCCCUGACAGCUUAUAGAAAUUUUAGGCUCACUAAGAUGUUCACAUAAAGAAUUUGCUACUUCUAUAAAAGUGUUGUUAGGAAACUUUUUCUCACAAUGAAAUUUUUGAUAUUGAAGUCCUGGUUGUCCACAACUGGCAUUGCAUUCUUCAUAGGUAUUCUCCAUGACAUAGUUGUAGCUAAAACAAUGAGUUCAAAUAUGUUCAAUAUUAUUAUAAGCAUUAGUUUUAUCAUUUUAUUUAUGUUUUUUUUUCUAAUUUUUAGUUUCAUAAAUGAUUAUUAACAUUAAUUUACAUUGCUGUUGUGCAAGAGUCUCGACGACAUGAAACUUCAUCUUUUCUUGGCACUUUAAGUAGAGCACAUUUCUCAUCCUCUACUUUCUGGCCAUUGUCUUUAUUAUAACAUAUAUGUUGCAUGACAUGAACUCCUGUAAUGGAAUAAUUAAUCAAAUACAUUAGAAGAAAUAAAUCUAUACAUUGGAGAAUAAGAAUCUGUAGAACUUUGGUAGCAUGUUAAAUUGUUGGUUUUAAGGAACUAAGAUUCUUAAGAAUUUUUAAUAAGGUCAAUAAAUGUUACAUAUAUUUCAGCAGAAGAUAAUGGUAUAACUUAUCUGUUUCAUCAUGUUCUUACUUACCAACACCACAUAUGACUGAACAAUCUGACCAUUUGUCAAACUUCCAAGCAUAUUUAUUACUUUCAUAGCUGUUAUCCUUUUUGUGCACUGUAUAGCUGUAAUAGAUAGCUGUUUCAUCCAUGACUUUAUUUGGAUAAACCUGGUACAAUUAAAUCAUCAUUUUUAACAAAGUCCUAGACACAAAGCCAACUAUCUUCAUAGCUUUUAAAAGGCACUUAUGAAACUACUAAAAUUCAAAGUAAAUUAAAUUUUUUUUAAUCAAUGUUAAAUCAUUUAAACCUGUGCAUUUGUUUAAAAAAAUGGAAGGCUGAUAAAAGGGGAAAAAAAAAAAGAUAAUUUUCAGUAAUAGCUUAUGCUUACCAUAACUUUGACAGUGUUUCUAAUAGGACCAUUGCAUGUUAUAGUCUCAUUAGUUUUCCAACUGGUAGUCUCAUAGACAAACAUGGCUCCAGCCAUAACAAACUUUUUAUCAUCAGACUGUUGCUUGUCUCCAUUUAGAUAAUACCGCCCAUACUUAGGAUCAAGUAAGGCUGGGAAAUAAAAUAAAUAUCACAUUAUAGUUUUAUAUUACAGAUUCUAUACUUCAGAUCUAUUUUUACAAAUCCUAUAUUUCUUGAAAUAAAAUUGCAGCCAUGUCAUGUAACAGUGAUCUCUAAGUGAAUAACACAUGAAAGAGAAUAAGGUACAAUCUGACAUACAUGACCAUAGUAGAUUUCUCAUAAGUAUUUUGGAAGAUAAAAGCUGUAAUAGUUUUAUUCAUUAAAAAUAAACUUUACAGAAUCCUAAAUGCUGCUGGUAAAAUCAUUAGCAAAAAACAAAUCCCAUUUGGGCAGCUGUUUGAGACAAACAUUCAUAAAAAAAAGUAAAAAGAUUCUGGAAAUAAAUAUCACCCUUUGAGUCAGGAUUUUUUAAUUUUACCAUCACAAAAGAGAUACAAGACACCGAUAGCAAAGACAAACAGACACAUAAACUCUUUUUGUUCCCCUGGCAAUCAAAUCAUUCAAUACAAGCUAUCUGAUAUAAACUUUUCGCAUCUAAAUUAUGAGUGAGUCUGGUGUGAAUAUAUAUUUUGGUUUUCUAUAAUUAUAAUGUUUUGUUUGGUGUAAUGCACAAAUUGUAAGACAAAUUCCCAAUGGAUAAUAAAGAUUAUUAUUAUUAUUAUUAA